UUUCCAAUACCCAACCUUCUUUCAGAUAUCCCAUGCGCGUAUUUUCCUUCUUUCCACCUCCCAAAAUCAAUUUUUUGCAGCUUCCAAUGAAUCGUGCUAGCCGUCGCCCCUUCGUUUUCUUAUUCUUCCUCUAUAUUAAUUCUGUCAUCUACAGACAAUUGCAUGUUCCAUCUUCAUCCGUAAACCCCAUCCCCAGACCAUUGCAUCUUCGGUCGUCAUCCCCAAAGUGAAAAGAGGAGUGGUGUUUGACGAUGAUGGACAUCUCUAUUUUGAAAUCUCUUUUACAUUCUAUGAUUUUGUUGUUGUAAUUAUUCUUUUGCUUUGAAGAUUCUUAUUGAUAUUUCCAAUGUUUUAGGUUUGUUCGAUUUCCAUAUAUAAUUCCUUGCUAGACAUUUUAUCUUUUUCGUUGGUCGCUACAUGGUUUGGUUUCUUCUCUUCAUCGGUUAGUUGCAGAAAGAGUACUAUUGAAGCUUUGUCGGAGAAGAUGAAAGAAGUUGCGUUGGUACCUGAUUUUUUGCCGUUUCCAAUUAAUCGAUUUAUGGCUACUCUUACUCAUUCUAUUCAGGCUUUCUUCUGCUUUUAAAUUUCAUUUUUGCAUAUGUUUCUAAAUUUUAAGUUUUAUAUGUUUAAUUAUGUGAUUAGGUUUCUCCAUGAUCCGGAAAGAUGGGGAAGGGAGGCAGAUCCGCUAGGCUGACAAAAUUCAUCAGAUCUGGAAUACCAGAGCCUUACAUUGAGGUUCUUGAAACUUCAACAAUUUUGAUCCUUUCAUUUUUUGGAAAUCGGGUUCACUAAAGGUUGUGGUUGCUCAAGCAGUAUUAGCCUACUAAGUGUUCGAUGAAAUGUCUGUGUUGGUGACGGGGUUUCAAAUUUCCAAGAAAUGAAGAAAGGAGGGCACCCACUAGAGAAAUGGAUAUCAUAUGUUACUCAAACCGCUAGGUUGAUGACAAAGAUACGCCUUACUGGUUUGUUUGAUUUCCAUAUAUAAUUCCUUGCUAGACAUUUUAUCUAUCUCAGCUUAGAAGAUUAUAACUUUUUUGAAUAUGCACCAUGAAGUUGCUGCUGCAGAUUUGAUAAAAUAGCUGCAGCAUGCCUCUGAUAUCAAUGUUGUAUGUGUCCAUUUACUACAGUGAGCUGUCAAAAACACUCAUCCUUACAAACAGGUUUUGCAGAAAAUGGACAUCUUCAACCAGAGAAAUGACCAAUCUGAAUGGGACUGGAUUGAUGUGCAUAAAGGCUAUAAUGAUGUGAACCUUAGUAGUAACAAGAGUUUUAGGGGUUGGAGUUAUCUGAAUUAAAGUAAUGAUGUAUAUGAUUUCAGCCAUUGACUGAGUAGUGAUUUGAACUAUUAUAAUUACUCUCUCCCUGCAUAAUUAUAAUAUCAAUUUAAAACAUUUGUUUUGCCCUUUUUUUAGCAUUAAAUCAAUGGGUUAUUUGUGUAGUUUAUCAGGUUUUUCCUUCAGAAGGAAAAUUUAGUUAUUGUAUCUACUUUGGUAAAACAGUUAUGCAUCCAAUUCAAGUAAAAACGGAAUAAAAAGUUCCUGUUCUCUAAACAUUUUGUGGAAGAAAUUUUGUAAUCAAGGUUGUGUUAGAGUCUACCAUGCCCAGAAUUUAGCUAAGGUUAAAAGACCUAUAAAUGAGAAAGAUUCAUGUUAUCAGCUUUAAAAUUGAUACCAUGGAGUUCAAAAUUUUUAACACCGUAUUCUAUAUUCU